CAGUAGCCGCGGUAAUACGAAGGGUGCAAGCGUUACUCGGAAUUACUGGGCGUAAAGCGUGUGUAGGUGGUUGUUUAAGUCUGUCGUGAAAGCCCUGGGCUCAACCUGGGAAUUGCGAUGGAUACUGGGCGACUAGAGUGCGGUAGAGGAUAGUGGAAUUUCCGGUGUAGCAGUGAAAUGCGUAGAGAUCGGAAGGAACAUCUGUGGCGAAGGCGACUAUCUGGGCCAACACUGACACUGAGACACGAAAGCGUGGGGAGCAAACAGGAUUAGAUACCCGAGUAGUCCCUGUCUCUUAUAC
rnacentral:rRNA from 1 species